AUGACGAGGCACCACGGUGCUGAAGCAACAAAUGCCCUGCUUCCAGGAAAAGCCUCUAAGCAUCAGGUAACAUCAAAUCGUACCCCAAACCGACACAGGUGGUCAGGUAGAGAAUACCAAGGCGCUUGAGAGAACUCGGGUGAAGGAACUAGGCAAAAUGGUGCCGUAACUUCGGGAGAAGGCACGCUGACACGUAGGUGAAGUGAUUUACUCACGGAGCUGAAGUCAGUCGAAGAUACCAGCUGGCUGCAACUGUUUAUUAAAAACACAGCACUGUGCAAACACGAAAGUGGACGUAUACGGUGUGACGCCUGCCCGGUGCCGGAAGGUUAAUUGAUGGGGUCAGCGCAAGCGAAGCUCCUGAUCGAAGCCCCGGUAAACGGCGGCCGUAACUAUAACGGUCCUAAGGUAGCGAAAUUCCUUGUCGGGUAAGUUCCGACCUGCACGAAUGGCGUAAUGAUGGCCAGGCUGUCUCCACCCGAGACUCAGUGAAAUUGAACUCGCUGUGAAGAUGCAGUGUACCCGCGGCAAGACGGAAAGACCCCGUGAACCUUUACUAUAGCUUGACACUGAACAUUGAGCCUUGAUGUGUAGGAUAGGUGGGAGGCUUUGAAGCGUGGACGCCAGUCUGCGUGGAGCCGACCUUGAAAUACCACCCUUUAAUGUUUGAUGUUCUAACGUGGACCCGUAAUCCGGGUUGCGGACAGUGUCUGGUGGGUAGUUUGACUGGGGCGGUCUCCUCCUAAAGAGUAACGGAGGAGCACGAAGGUUGGCUAAUCCUGGUCGGACAUCAGGAGGUUAGUGCAAUGGCAUAAGCCAGCUUGACUGCGAGCGUGACGGCGCGAGCAGGUGCGAAAGCAGGUCAUAGUGAUCCGGUGGUUCUGAAUGGAAGGGCCAUCGCUCAACGGAUAAAAGGUACUCCGGGGAUAACAGGCUGAUACCGCCCAAGAGUUCAUAUCGACGGCGGUGUUUGGCACCUCGAUGUCGGCUCAUCACAUCCUGGGGCUGAAGUAGGUCCCAAGGGUAUGGCUGUUCGCCAUUUAAAGUGGUACGCGAGCUGGGUUUAGAACGUCGUGAGACAGUUCGGUCCCUAUCUGCCGUGGGCGCUGGAAGACUGAGGGGGGCUGCUCCUAGUACGAGAGGACCGGAGUGGACGCAUCACUGGUGUUCGGGUUGUCAUGCCAAUGGCACUGCCCGGUAGCUAAAUGCGGAAAAGAUAAGUGCUGAAAGCAUCUAAGCACGAAACUUGCCCCGAGAUGAGUCUUCCCUGAGACUUUGAGUCUCCUGAAGGAACGUUAAAGACGA
rnacentral:rRNA from 1 species